CCAUGAAGUCGGAAUCGCUAGUAAUCGUAGAUCAGAAUGCUACGGUGAAUACGUUCCCGGGCCUUGUACACACCGCCCGUCACACCAUGGGAGUGGGUUGCAAAAGAAGUAGGUAGCUUAACCUUCGGGAGGGCGCUUACCACUUUGUGAUUCAUGACUGGGGUGAAGUCGUAACAAGGUAACCGUAGGGGAACCUGCGGUUGGAUCACCUCCUUACCUUAAAGAA
rnacentral:rRNA from 1 species